GACGAACGCUGGCGGCGUGCUUAACACAUGCAAGUCGAACGGAAAGGCCCUGCUUGCAGGGUGCUCGAGUGGCGAACGGGUGAGUAACACGUGGGUGAUCUGCCCCUUACUUUGGGAUAAGCCUGGGAAACUGGGUCUAAUACUGGAUAGGACCAUGCUGUAGGUGGUGUGGUGGAAAGAUUUUUUCGGUAAGGGAUGAGCUCGCGGCCUAUCAGCUUGUUGGUGGGGUAAUGGCCUACCAAGGCGUCGACGGGUAGCCGGCCUGAGAGGGUGGACGGCCACAUUGGGACUGAGAUACGGCCCAGACUCCUACGGGAGGCAGCAGUGGGGAAUAUUGCACAAUGGGCGCAAGCCUGAUGCAGCGACGCCGCGUGGGGGAUGACGGCCUUCGGGUUGUAAACUCCUUGCAGCCAUGACGAAGCCUCUUUUGGGGUGACGGUAGUGGUAGAAGAAGCACCGGCUAACUACGUG
rnacentral:rRNA from 1 species